UCUUAGAUCAAUUGGAUGUCGUCUACACAUGAUCUUAUAUGAAUCAAUUGUAUUGCGUGAUUACUGCUUCAGUGGACAAGACAUUUGGUUGAUGGUGAGCCCUGUAAUAUGGUUUUAUAUGGUAGAGUGACAUCAAACAAAUCUAGUGUUAAGACAAUUUAAAAUGCAACAAAUAAUAAUGCCACCAAUAUGUGUGCUAUACGAACCACAAACUACAUAAAAUAGAUCUUCGUGGUAAACAUGUCCAAGGCUGGAGAUGAAUCCAUGCCAACUAUUUAUUGUUAUAGCAAACAUGUCAUGAGAAUUGUGUAAGGGGAGAAGCAGUAGAUGGUCCAUUUGUAUCAGAUGACCUACCUUCUCUGGUACGACUCAAUUAUCGAAAGAUAUAUCCAACCGGAUGAUAGUUAUUACUAUUUCAUGUUUACCAGAACUUGGUUCAAUGUAUGGCCAAUGGGUCGUGAGUGUUGAAGAAAUUAUCAUUCAACAAAUAAGUCGACUUAAUGUUCACAGCACUGAUAAAAGACAUGCUCGUCAUAGCUAGGCGUCAACGACAACAAGCUGAUGAUAUUGUAGAGCAACCAGUUAAUGAGUCGACUCCAACUUCUACAUAACACAUAAAAGAAAUUGUUGCAACCAAUGAGUGGUAUAUAUGAUAUAACAUUGUGUUAUAUACUUAAAAUUUCGAACAAAUGCACAAUUUUGACAAACCCGACUAUCAUUCGGAUAUCAGUUUGUUACGAAAUCAACAAUUAAGUAACAUGAAGAAUGUAAAGAUCGACACACAUAUAUACAUGAUUCGCUAAUAUUGUGUUAGCUACAUCUACGAACAAAAAGAAAAAUAUAUUAUUAGAGAGAAUAUACUUUUAAAACAAUACGACUUUUCGUA